UAAAAUCACGAUAUAUUACGGAUUACAAAUGUGUCGAGGUUUGUGAUUGGAUAACAACACAGAGAUGUCAGUAUAUAUUCAGGAAACUGCCAGGGUAUAUACGACGUUUUUAUCCCCAAUUGGAACCUCCAAAACGUCAUCAUAACACCGGUUACUAUGUGACGUAGUCAAAAGCUACCAGACUGUCAGAGGCUCACAGAGGGAAAAUAAUGACAUGCUUCAGUCAAUAAUACAUUUUUGAUACAAAAUCACGCAUUUACACUUUUAAUACUUAAAUUUAAUGUUAAAAGUGUUAUUAUAAAUUAUUACAUACACGAUAAAAUUAUGUUCACAGCAAAUUAGAAAAUCCGUCACGUAUGUCGAUCAUAUCAGGUUGGGUUUUUCAAUAUAUAUGUGUUGUCAACAAAUACCUGCACUGGAAAAUAACAUUAAGUCAGGGGUAAUCCGUAAUAUAUGUGUAAUUCAGGUCUCAGAAAGGGUAUAUACUGUGACAUUCCCGGCUUAGGGCUUAUAUCCCCUUCGCCUUCGGCUCAGGGGAUAUAAACUCUAAGCCGGGAAUGUCACAGUAUAUACCCUGUCUGAGACCUGAAUAACAUAUAAUAUUCAA
rnacentral:lncRNA from 1 species